AAAUUUAUUGAGCUGCCAGGUAACAAACUAAUAACUAUAAAUCCAUAGGUUGCUUGAUCAUCUCCAACAGUAAUAUCUAAAUCGAUUUUCAAAUACAGCAAUUGUUCAGUUCCUUUUGGGGUCGUAAACAACUCCCCAAAGUUUGGGAACGAUUGGUUUAGUCCUCACUUUGCGCAAAGCGAUUCAAUUUUCUAUGGGAAUUUAUAAGGGAAACACCUCGGGAAACACCCUUUCUAUUUUGGUAUUUUGAAAUCCACGUUUUACGCUAUAUUAAAACUGGGCGCGUAUUCGGUUGCUCUACACGGUUACAAAAAAUCCCACUUUUGGAGUUCAAAUAUACUUUUGCCAGACCGCUGAAGCAAACUCGAAAAAGUGUGAUUUCUCGAACUUGUGAAAUGGUGAAAAUCAUGAAAAAACAAGAUCGAUUCAUGGAACUCCCAUAAGUAUAAUUUUGGACUUAGCAAAAUUUCGCAAUUUUUUGGAAACGUUUCAAGUUGUCAUUUUUCUCAAAUUUUCGUGCUAAGACGGUUCACGGCUAGAAACAGGUAAGUAAGUUCCGGGUUCUGGGUGAAAUUUAGCCACCGUUGAUCGGAUUGUUUCACUCGCAACGGUGGCCAAGUGGAGUCGGUUCCUCAAAGGACGGAUUUUUACAAGAGAAACUGUUCCUCCGGAGGACGGAUUGCCUUGCAAAGUUGACAGGGGGAACUAGUCCAUCGGUGGACGGUUUGUCCUCUAAAGUUGGAAAGGGGGACUGGUCUACCGGUGGACGGAUUGUCUACCUAAGUUGGCAUGAGCACGGAUUCCUGGGUAAUGUUUGCAGGAGAAUUCCGUUCACCGGUGGACGGAUAGCCUGCCUAAAUUGGCUAGAAGAAUUAGUCCACCGGUGGACGGAUUCCUGGGAAAUGCUUCGCAGGAGGAAUCCGUCCACCGGUGAACGGGUUGCCUGCCUAAGUCGGCAAGAGGAACUGGUCCACCGGUGGACGGAUUCAUGGGGAGAUUGCCUGCCUAAGUUGGCAAGAGGAACUGGUCCACCGGUGGACGGAUUCAUGGGAAGAUUGCCCGCCCUAAGUUGGCAAGAGGAGCUGGUCCACCGGUGGACAGAUUCCUGGGCAAUGUUGUGCAGGAGGAAUCCAUCUGCCUAAGUCGGACUGUCUGCCUAAGUUGGCAAGGGGAACAGGUUCACCGGUGGACGGAUUUCUUGGCAAUGUAGUCGAUCAAUGAAGGGUUUUCUUUUCAUAAAUUCAGUUCAAUUAUUUAAUAAAUUUAAAUGUUUUUACAAUUCAAGUUUCAGGUCGCCUCGAGAGAUUCAUUAUGCGAUCUUAUUUCCGUCCGACGAUACAUUGCCCACUCGGGUUUCUCAGCUGCCACAAUGACCAUGUCCGUUGAAUGCGCUUAAAGUGGUUCAAACCUUCUACAAUAGCGUCUGUCAACGAUGCUAGGUUUAAGAAGAUACGGUGUACUCCGAGUCAGAGGAUAUCAGCGAGCGCAACUGCACUGGGCACGGAUUGGCCUACCACGAACCGAAAUUCCGCGCUCCAUGAUUGGGUACUCGCCGAAAUCGUUGGCUUCGCUGAUGAAUGCUUCCCGUACUAGCGGCUUGUACGGACAUCUGUCGGCUAGUGUGCUGGCAAGCCAACAAGCAUGAGCAGUCCGAGCAUCUAGUCGGGGUCGGACGCACACUCGUCGGGUCAACCGUCGAUCAGCAGUCCGAUGUCGAUUCCGGCGCUUACUGCUGGGCUGGUAGACGACAACGACGGCGGCCGCAUGCAGCUGAGCAGUCUCGGAGACAUUAAUUGACGGCGUGGCCGUACUCGGACGAGGAUUUGAAGGUCGCCGAUCUACCACACGUUCUGCGGGAAAUGGUUGACCUCGGUGGUCCAACCGCUGGCGCAGGAGAUCCUUGGAAUCGGUUCAAGAACCACAUCAACAACAAGGGUUCUCUAAUGAGUAUUCCGCUGUCCAAAAUCCCGGAGAUCAGCCAGCUCUACUUUGAGCUUAACCGGCGAAUAACCGAUCACGAAAUGGAACCGGGUACGACUUCGUCUCCGUAGCCAUCGUCCCUCGAAAGGACCCAGAAAGUACCCUCACCGCCAGCCAGCAAGUUGCACCCCAACCAGGAGAUGGUCGAGAACAAUUUGGGCCACAUCGGCAUAGUGACAAAGUAAUCGGCCUGGAUCAUCUUCGUUACGGCCGGUGCAGCAGCAGUCGCCAGACCAAACUGCUCCCUCGUCCCAGAUUCCUCCUUGAAGGAAGCAAUCUACACAUCGGUGAACAUCACCUUGGCGGCCGGGACAGCUUCCAGCAGCGUCGCUUGAUCCUUCUCCUGCUCCUUCGGAUCACGGUAAUAGAAGAGGUCGUAUCUGCAGAUCACUUACUUUUACUGCUCGGAAAACCUGCGGGUUAUGAGCUGUCUCCAGAUGAGUUGCCAUCUAACUCGGUUCUGGGCUGCUUCUCUCCAUCCUUCUUCAUCUUCAUCCUUCUUCUCCAUACAGUGUUCUCACGCACGCCGCCAAAGAUCGUCCUAAGCACUUGCCGUUCGAAAACUUCAAACUCCUCCACCUCAAACUCGUCGCCGUCGAUCGUCACGCUCGGUCCUAUGCGAGCCCUAAGGGACUCGGUUCCUCCUGCCAGCAGAUACUUCGUCUUCGCCACAUUCACCUUCAAUCCAACCUUCUCCGUUUCCCGCUUCAAUUCGGUGUACCUCCUGGCCACUUCCUCGAACGUUCUGCCAACAAUGUCCAUAUCGUCGGAUUUGUCUUUAGUUAAGUUAAGUUUUAUCAUUAAGACCACAAGUUAUCGGAUGAUUCAAAUAAACAAAUAAACAAAUAAACAAA